rnacentral:lncRNA from 1 species
AAAUAGUUGGGUUUGAUCUAUGUUGAGUGGUCUGAAACCUAAUUGUUGUGUCUCCGAACGCGUAGGAAGCGACGGUUCGUCGAUUCGUCGAGCGGGUGCGACGUUCCGGCUGAAUCAAGUGUUCGUAGUUCAGAGUUGACCGGGGGCCGAGGCGACGUUCUAAAAUCACGAGAUCGGAUCCGGGGCACCGUAGUAAGAAACCGAAGAGUUUCUGCACUUGAAAUCGCGAAGCGGAGAUCGUUUGGUGGUCGCGCGUGAUUAGGGUCAAGCCGAGCGGCGUGCGCCACGGGAGGCCGAUUGCGAGUGACGACGAGCAAUCG